rnacentral:lncRNA from 1 species
UUUAAUCCAUAUCCAUUCAUAAGCAGCUCCAACUGCUGUUUUAAGUUAAGAAGAAAUAUUUGCUCAAGCUCACAUGGAAACAACUCAAGAUGACUCUGACAUGGUUAGACAGACUGAUUAAUAACUGCAGUAUGGCUUCCCAUCCAAUAUGUCAAAACAAGCCCAAAUAAAUCAGAGAUAACACAGCUUCCCAGAUCGUAACUGCGCAACUUGAGGUUGGGAGAAAGGGGGGAAGAUGAUAAAAAAUACCCAAUAUGCAAACAAUGAGCCAAAUUACAAUGCGGAUUAGAGAUGAAUCCACAAAAAUACAAAAAAUAGUAAAAAAAAGAAUUAAAAAACAUACAAGUGGGUAAACAACCCACUUUGGACAAGCUUCCGGAGCUUCUUUCUGGCAAGGGGUUUGGCGAUGGGAACUGCAAUGGCUCUCUCUACUUCGAACAAGCUUCCAGUGAUGGGGACUGCAACAUCCCUCCGGUCCUCUUUGAGCUUUGCCAUCUCAUCGGAUUCUUGGAUCGCUUCCUAAACCACGAACGCCGAUCCCUCGAAUGUGGAACCAAAGAGAACAGAGAUUUUGGAAUUUCUCUAACAUCGGUUAGGAGGCAGGGCAUCGGCCGGAAAAAUCGCAGAGCUUCCUAAGGGCUCGUUUGGUUCGCGGGAAGUAUUUUCCCUCCUAGGAAUAUGAUUCCUG